GCCCGGCUAGCUCAAUCGGUAGAGCGUGAGACUCUUAAGUUUCCCGUUCCCUUACAAACGAUUGGAAUUUGGCAUCUCAAGGUUGUGGGUUCGACCCCCACGUCGGGCU
rnacentral:tRNA from 1 species